rnacentral:lncRNA from 1 species
AACUGCCCACCACAUAUCCACACCAUCAACAUCCAUCCCCACUCCCUGUACUCAAUCCUCCAUCAUCUUUGUUUUUCAUAUCCAACUUAAAUAAAAUAAAUUAAAAAUAAAUAAAACUUACCUAAAUUAUAGAUCAUUUUAAUUUGACUAUCAAACCAUUAAGAAUUUUAAUUUUAAUACUUUAAUUUUUCAAUUUUUUGAUUCGUUGUUCGCUAACUCUUUGGCUAUGAAAUCUACAAUAAUUUCAUAUUUUAAAAAAUAAUGUAUUUAAAUUUUAAAGUUAACGAGUCAUAAGCAAACUCCAAUUAAUUUUUUGAUUUCGUUGUUCGCUAACUCUUUGGCUA